UUUGGUAUGCAAAAUGCUGCUCAGCGCUUUGACGGCAAUCUCCCUGCAUCUCUAGCGUCGGCAACUGAAACCCGGCAGUAUACGAAAGAUCUGACGAGAAGCUUCUAGGGCCGCCGCAACGGAGAGCAGAGAAACGUUCACCACCUGUUCUAUCCUGGAAAAAAAAUUCACACUUGGUCGAUGGCUUUUUAAGGUACCGGUGCUUGCUUCGUCUUUUGCUUCGCUGUCAACAGUAUUGUACACUUGUGUCUCUAGCAUCUUCUAAGACUGCAGCAAGGCUCAUCAAAAGCAUGUAGCCGAGGCAUGUCGAAACCAAGGGAGACUGCUACCGGCUCCUACCUGCUACCCGCUCCUACUUGCUACCCGCUACUGAAUUUGAUUCCUGCUCAACCUUUAGCAAACAAGAGUCCAUUAGAGGAACACACCGCGCGCUCUUAUAUGGAUUACCAGGUAUCAUGACCUUAAGGUCCUUAAUUGUCUAUAACAGCCCAUUCUGGGUGCCAGGGAGUAGACAUGGGGUUUGUGGGUCAAACCCCCGCAUACACCACAAUACGCUUCAAUUUCUCGAAGCGAAGUAGAGUGUAGAGAUAGGCAAGUACGUAUUGCGAAGGGGAGCUGCCGUGGUGCGUGGAAGCAGGGCGCAUGCAUGCAUGUGCCGGACCACAGUACGGCAGGGGACGCCAAGCUCCUAUUUGGGUCGUACGGGGGCAUUGGUUCCCUAACUGCCGUUGUUUUGACUAUUACCAAGACGUGUGUCCCGCUGCUGGGACAGUGUCCUCUAGUUUCUCCCUUCCCACCGGUCAGUAUCUUUAUAAUUAUCCUUUGUCAUUGGUCUAAUCUUGGAGUACCCGUCUAUGUUCCUUUCCUUGUCAAUCGUCUGUGCCUCGUCGUAUCCCCCACACACCCAGGGCAAUCCCGGGGGUUGCCACAAUGCAGCGGUCCCUGGCUUUUGUCGCUGCUGGCCUCGGGUGGGUCGCCCGGGCUGCUUAGCUACUGUAACGCAACAUGGCAGGACUGAGCAGUACCACGUAUGUGCGCGCAUGUACUAGCCGGCACUACCCCUAUAGGUAGGUUGUGAAUAUUGUCAACAAGGCUAAUGGGUGGCGGCGUCAAAAGACCAUGGUCUGGUCUGUUGACACGGUGUCCCGAUCCGGAACUUUAAUUGCUG
rnacentral:lncRNA from 1 species